AAGAUAGAGCAUCAGAACGAAGUGGUGCGGCGCAGGAGCAAUCCCUUUAUUUUUCAAGGUUCCCUCGCAUAUAUGUACUGCAUUCAUUUUAAGAAGAACAUGUAGCCUUGUUUUAGGACUUUAGGCCAACCCAUCUGUAUUUAUGGAGAAGAAGUUGUGACUUGUAGCAUUAUUUCUCAGCAGAGAAUUGACUUCCAACAACUGUAGGUGAAUUUUCUUUGAUUCUUUUGUAUUUUCAAUACAUUUUGGUGAGCUUUUGUUUUUGUUUUGGCAUUUUUUCUAGAACCUUAGGAUUUUUUGUGGUAGAUUGUGAAAUGGGUUUAUAGGGUUUCCAUGAAAGGUUUAAAUAUUCUUGGUGUUCUUGAUAUUUUGGCUUUUUGAUCUAGAAUGAAUGACAAUAAAAAUUUAAAUGUGUUUUUGGUGGUUUAUGGGCUUUUGUGUUUGUGGGUUGUUCUAGGUUUUGAUUUGGCAAAUAUUUUGCCCAAAAUUUUACUAAGUGUUUGAGACAAUUUGGUGGAUUGUAGAAUGAGAAAAUGCUUGUCUUGAUAUCACAUAUUUACUUGGGGAUUGUAGAGAGUUAUAAUUGGUGGACCCAAUGUCAUCCAUCAGUCUUGGGAUUGUAGUGUACCAAAGAGGGUCACUCCCAAAUUGUGUAUCCGUCUUGGGAUUGUAGGGUACCAAAGAGGGUCACUCCCAAGUUGUGUAUCCGUCUUGGGAUCGUAGGGUACCAAAGAGGGUCACUUCCAAGUUGUGUAUCCGUCUAGGGAUCGUAGGAUACCAAAGAGGGUCACUCCCAAGCUGUGUAUCCGUCUUGGGAUUGUAGGGUACCAGAGAGGGUCACUCCCAAGCUGUGUAUCUGUCUUGGAAUCGUAGGGUACCAAAGAGGGUCACUGCCAAGCUGUGUAUCCGUCUAGGGAUCAUCACGUGCCGGAUGAGGGGGCACCUCCGUGUUGGUGUCCCUAGUAAAUAAAAGGACGGUCAUGGGGAUAUGAACAAAAAACCUCUUUUCUGACGUAGGUGUGAUAAAGAAUGGGGUACCACUUUAGGCUGUCCCUAGCGUAGGAAACUGAGUCUUUUGUGGAUCGUGAACAAGUGUUAUGCGCUUUAAUGGGACACUUUUAUUGGUGUCUAGUGGAAUCGUUAUGUGAGAAUAGAGCCUUCGAGGUUCUAUGUCAUUAAUGUGUUGUGUGAAAUAGCCAAUUAGGAUUUUUGUGUUGCAAUAUCAUAUAUAUAUAUAUAUAUCUUUAAGAUUUUGACAACCUAUGUCAUGAAUAGGAGUUUAUGUCGAGCGUCGGGAGUGCGUUCUACCCCGCAUUUGUAGAGGUAGAUUCCGAUACUGAUAGUAAUGGUCAUCAGGUUAUCAAUAUGGAUGACGACUUUGGUGAUGAUGUCCUAGAUGCUUUGCCUAUUAAUCAUGUUAUAGUGGUAGAUGAUUAUUAUGGUGGGGAUAUUGAAGACCACGAUGUCGUCGGGUUGGCGGUACCUGGCGAAGAAGCUCCAGUGAUGGGUUAUGUCUUGGCGCAACUAGUGGGUGAAGAUGAUGGGCCAAGCUUUUCUGGCAGAUCACAAGGUAUUUUACGGGCAAAUCCUGAAACCCAACUAACAGUUCCCCUUUUAGCUAAGAUGAGAUUAUCUUUCGGUAUUCCUCGUAGUAUUAAGAUGAGGUUACCCAAGUUUGUCAAACGGGUCGAUUGGGAUACCCCCGGUUGGUGUGGUAUGUAUGAGUACACCUUUCAUCAAGGCUUCAGGUUACCCUUCCCUCUUUUUGUUUCAAAAGUACUUAACUGGUAUCAUAUAGCCCCUAGUUAGCUAAUGCCUAAUGCAUGGAGAGUGCUCUUAGGCAUCGAAAGGUUUGCUGAGGUGUUCGGGAUGAGUGUUGAGUUAUUAGAGUUUCGUGCUCAUUACACAGUGAGAGAACAUGAUAAAGAGAAGGGAAGAUAUAGUUUUGUGUCUCGUAAUGAAGAAAAGUCCUUGGUUUGUAAUAUAAAAUCCAAUGACCGUUGGUGGAAAGAACCUUAUUGUUUCUUCCAUGGAAAAGAAAUGUUCUCGCCUGGAGCCGAUAGUUUUCCUACUAGUUGGCGGGUAUUAGAUAAAGAAUUGACCAAACUUCCUGCUUUGUCGUACGAUAGUGACCAGAAUUUGAAGAAAAUUUUAGCCAUCCCUGAAAAGCAAUGAAGUUGGAAGAAAUUGCUAAAGGAAUCAAAUUUGACUUCCAGUUUUCUUUGGAGCAAAGUCGAGGGGCGGAGUGAAGAAGAAGAACGUAAUCUAGCGGAUAAAUUUUUGAAAAAGAUGUCAUUCAAAAUGCCUUCCAGUCCUGAUGCCUUGGCAAAAGCCAAGAAAGCGGCGAGUAAGAAGAAAGGCCAUUCGUCGACUGUAGAGCCAUCAAUAAACCCCGUGCCCUCAAAGAGUAUUGUUCCUUCAAAGGUCAUCGAAGGAGGAUCAAGCAAGAGGCCUAGGGUUGAUUUUGAUGAGGAAGAAAAUAUCUCUGUCACCAUUCCAAGGAAUACUUGUGUGUAUUCGAACCCUUUGUCUAUUGAAGGAUAUGUCGAAGCCCUCUUGUGUCCUCGUGAUGAGACUCGUUUGAAAGAAAUGGGAUCCGUCGAGUCAUCCAAUGAUUUGGUGUCUGGAGCCUAUCGGAUGCUUUCUAAUGCGAUUCAUAUUCGUCGAGACCAUCAACGCCUCGGAAGGAAAAAACCGUGAUCUUAAAAAGUCCAACACCGAGCUUCGAUCGGGUCUUACGAAAGUUGACAAGAUGCUUAAGGCAAGUAAAGAAUUAAACGAAGAGUUGAAGAGGCAAUUAAAGGAUAAAGAGAGCCUUUUGAUGCUCUUUGUUGAGCCUUUUGAAUGUCGAAUUGUGCUCUCUGUUGUAUUGUUGAGGUUUUUUAUGUUAAAUCAUGCGUUUCACUACAGUUGAAUGUUGGUAGUCAACUAUGAUUGAAGUUUAAUGAAUAUCACACAAUUUGACCAAGCAUAAAGUGAUUGUGAUCAUGGUCCUCUACAGGAGGUAUGUGAUUAUGUCAGAUAGCACCAUUGGUAGUAUUCUACAAUAAUAUCAUACGAUAGGCGACAAACAAUAGUUAUUCAUCAUCCAUCUGUUUAGAGAUCCAUUCAUUGGUCUGAGGACCGUCAAGUGCCAACAAUACCUAUUUAUGGCCAUCCAUCCGACUGGUAUCCACCAUCCGUCCAGGGUCCAUCCAUCCGUCUGGGGAUGGUCGUGUGACAAAAAGUGCCAACCUAGGGCAAGCCAUCCGGUUAGGGAUUGUCACGUAACAAGGAGUGGAAACCUUGGGCCAACCAUCCAUCUGGGGAUGGUUAUGCAACAAGGAAUGCCAGCUUAUGGCAAUCCAUCCAUCUGGGGAUGGUGUCUACCAUCCGUCCGGGGUCCAUCCAUCCGUCCGGGGAUGGUCGUGUGACAAAAAGUUCCAACCUAGGGCAAGCCAUCCGUUUAGGGAUGGUCAUGUAACAAGGAGUGGCAACCUUGGGUCAACCAUCCAUCUGGGGAUGGUUGUGCAACAAGGAGUGCCAACCUAUGGAAAUCCAUCCAUCUGGGGAUGGUUGAUUUUGUAUGUAAAACUUGACCAAGUGUAAAUUUUAUUGUAAAAUGACAAUAUUCAUA